UUUUAUUUUAAUUCAUCUGUCCAUAACAAUAAGUCAAACCAUACCUCUUUUAAAUUGGUGUAAUUGGCAAAAGGAUUAGUAGGCUCUGAGACAUUUGAAGCUGACCACCAAGUAGUAUCUUUUGUAUUAUCAUUAUAAGCCUUUUGUCCCAAAAUGUCUCAUUGACAGCUGCUAGAGGGUUUCCGCAUUUCUCACUGUGAAAAUCACAGUGAGAAGACACCAGCAUCCAUAGGAAAGCAUUGAGAAUGCUUUCCUAUGGACUGGCUGAAUGCGCACGCAGCUCUUGCCGCGCAUGCGCAUUCAGCCGGAGAGGAGGAGGAGAGCUCCCCGCCCGGCGCUGGAGAAAGAGGUAAGUUUAACCCCCUCCUCCCCCCAGAGCCCAGCGGUAGGGGGACCCUGAGGGUGGGGGCACCCUCAGGGCACUAUAGUGCCAGGAAAACGAAUAUGUUUUCCUGGCACUAUAGUGGUCCUUUAACUCACCUACAGACGUGUUAUACAUUGGCCCUUUCCUAGCUACACAAACAUGACCUAUAAUAGAGGUUUUUAACCACCAUUCUGAUUUACCUCUAGUACUUACUUGAUGAUCAGACUGAGAAAGUAUCUGUUGUUCAGCUUCCUUUGCUUCCCAUGGCCACUGGUCUCCCAUAUUAGUACCUCCACAUACAAAACAGUUAGUUACAUUAAGACUACCCGCAAUACUCUCAGCUAAAUCUACAAAUAGGUUUUUAACAUUAUGGGGAAUUUUAUCCUCAACACUCAUCUCCUCAUAGAAGGAAUGAAAAACCUGAUGAAACUGAGACGACAGGUUCUCAAACUCAAGUCCUACAUAUAUUAUGGUCCCUGGAUCUACUCCUGUACCAUGUAUUUUGAAACCCAAAGAGAUUCCCAAACUUGUCAAUGAAGUGCUGUGGAUUGGAAAUGGUCAUACGCACAGGGUUACACUCCAUAGUUUUACAAUACGGUGCAGUGGGCAACCUUUGGAUAAUCAUAUCUUGGUCUACUGUUUUUUCCCAGGUCGCCCAACCUACCCAUGACCAAUAGAGGCAGAAGUUAAAGUCUCUAUUUGGGCAGUCAGGAUCAGUAGAUC